rnacentral:rRNA from 1 species
UGGGGAAUAUUGCACAAUGGGCGCAAGCCUGAUGCAGCCAUGCCGCGUGUGUGAAGAAGGCCUUCGGGUUGUAAAGCACUUUCAGCGGGGAGGAAGGCGAUAAGGUUAAUAACCUUGUCGAUUGACGUUACCCGCAGAAGAAGCACCGGCUAACUCCGGGCCAGCAGCCGCGGUAAUACGGAGGGUGCAAGCGUUAAUCGGAAUUACUGGGCGUAAAGCGCACGCAGGCGGUCUGUCAAGUCGGAUGUGAAAUCCCCGGGCUCAACCUGGGCACUGCAUUCGAAACUGGCAGGCUAGAGUCUCGUAGAGGGGGGUAGAAUUCCCGGUGUAGCGGUGAAAUGCGUAGAGAUCUGGAGGAAUACCGGUGGCGAAGGCGGCCCCCUGGACGAAGACUGACGCUCAGGUGCGAAAGCGUGGGGAGCAAACAGG